rnacentral:ncRNA from 1 species
GCAGAGUAGGAAGAUGCGCGUCAAGUGCCGGAUGGACGGGGAGUUGCCAGCCGGACGAAAAGCAGGAGAGCUUGCGGUGCAUGUUCCGCAUCCCGCUGC